UACCUGAUGUACUGACUCGAA
ensembl:piRNA 21ur-895 ncRNA